rnacentral:rRNA from 1 species
UGGCUCAGGACGAACGCUGGCGGCGUGCCUAACACAUGCAAGUCGAGCGAGGAGAUCCUCGGGAUGAUCCUAGCGGCGGACGGGUGAGUAACACGUGGGCAACCUGCCUCAUAGAGAGGAAUAGCCUUCCGAAAGGGAGAUUAAUACCUCAUAACAUUGCAGUUUCGCAUGAAACAGCAAUUAAAGGAGCAAUCCGCUAUGAGAUGGGCCCGCGGCGCAUUAGCUAGUUGGUGAGGUAACGGCUCACCAAGGCGACGAUGCGUAGCCGACCUGAGAGGGUGAUCGGCCACAUUGGGACUGAGACACGGCCCAGACUCCUACGGGAGGCAGCAGUGGGGAAUAUUGCACAAUGGGGGAAACCCUGAUGCAAGCAACGCCGCGUGAGUGAUGACGGCCUUCGGGUUGUAAAGCUCUGUCUUCAGGGACGAUAAUGACGGUACCUGAGGAGGAAGCCACGGCUAACUACGUGCCAGCCGCAGC